rnacentral:rRNA from 1 species
CGGGCCUCUCGCGUCAGGAUAUGCCUAGGUGGGAUUAGCUAGUUGGUGAGGUAAGGGCUCACCAAGGCGACGAUCCCUAGCUGGUCUGAGAGGAUGAUCAGCCACACUGGAACUGAGACACGGUCCAGACUCCUACGGGAGGCAGCAGUGGGGAAUAUUGCACAAUGGGCGCAAGCCUGAUGCAGCCAUGCCGCGUGUGUGAAGAAGGCCUUCGGGUUGUAAAGCACUUUCAGUCGUGAGGAAGGUAGUGUAGUUAAUAGCUGCAUUAUUUGACGUUAGCGACAGAAGAAGCACCGGCUAACUCCGUGCCAGCAGCCGCGGUAAUACGGAGGGUGCGAGCGUUAAUCGGAAUUACUGGGCGUAAAGCGCAUGCAGGUGGUUUGUUAAGUCAGAUGUGAAAGCCCGGGGCUCAACCUCGGAAUUGCAUUUGAAACUGGCAGACUAGAGUACUGUAGAGGGGGGUAGAAUUUCAGGUGUAGCGGUGAAAUGCGUAGAGAUCUGAAGGAAUACCGGUGGCGAAGGCG